rnacentral:rRNA from 1 species
AGGACCUACGGGGCGCAGCAGUGGGGAAUAUUGCGCAAUGGGCGAAAGCCUGACGCAGCGACGCCGCGUGGGUGAAGAAGGUCUUCGGAUCGUAAAACCCUGUUGUUAGAGAAGAAAGUGCGUGAGAGUAACUGUUCACGUUUCGACGGUAUCUAACCAGAAAGCCACGGCUAACUACGUGCCAGCAGCCGCGGUAAUACGUAGGUGGCAAGCGUUAUCCGGAUUUAUUGGGCGUAAAGGGAACGCAGGCGGUCUUUU